UACAGAGGUGGCAAGCGUUGUUCGGAAUUACUGGGCGUAAAGGGCGCGUAGGCGGUCCCGUCAGUCCCUUGUGAAAUCCCCCGGCUCAACUGGGGAACUGCAAGGGAUACAGCGGGGCUUGAGUUCGGGAGAGGGAAGCGGAAUUCCGGGUGUAGCGGUGAAAUGCGCAGAUAUCAGGAGGAACACCUAUUGCGAAGGCAGCUCGCUGGGACGUUACUGACGCUGAGACGCGAAAGCGUGGGGAGCAAACAGG
rnacentral:rRNA from 1 species